GGGCAGAGGCGCGACCAAAUCGGAGGACAAGAACCUUAUCAAUGGUGUCUCUGAUUAUGGAAUGAACCUCUAAUUUCUUAGACAAACGUAGCAGUCUCUGAUGUGGCUGAAAGUUCAUUUUCAGAUUUAAAAAAGAAGAAGAAGAAACAUGUUGAAAUUAGUAACUUAAAUGAUGAGGGUGGACAUGCAAUUGAAGAUUUGGAUGAUCACAAUGAAGAAGAUGAAGAAGAUGAUGUUUCCUUGCAGCACCGUUAUCGUUGGCUGACAGUGAUAAGCUUGGGGAUUCUGAUUCUCCUAUUUUACGAUCAAGUGAAGAGGAAAUGGAACAUUCACUACUUGGGACGUGUUCUGGAUUCAUACUGGAGAGUUCCUCAUAUUCCUUCCCCUCCUACAGCUUGGAGACAAUGUUUUAUAACUUGGAGACAAUGUUUUUUUAUUUGUUAGGUUGCAAUGAUGCUAAGUGCUCCCCUCUUACAGAGAAGUUUAAAAGGCUUUCCAGUUAAGUUUGGUCUUGUAGCAUUGUGUUUUUAAAA